GACGAACCGUGCGAACGUUGUUCGGAAUCACUGGGCUUAAAGGGUGUGUAGGCGGGCUGUCAAGUUCGGGGUGAAAUCCUCCAGCUUAACUGGAGAACGGCCUCGAAUACUGAUGGUCUCGAGGGGGAUAGGGGCACGCGGAACUGUGGGUGGAGCGGUGAAAUGCGUUGAUAUCCAUAGGAACUCCGGUGGCGAAAGCGGCGUGCUGGAUCCCAUCUGACGCUGAAACACGAAAGCCAGGGGAGCAAACGGG
rnacentral:rRNA from 1 species